rnacentral:rRNA from 1 species
UCCGUAGGUGGAUAAUUAAGUCAGAGGUGAAAUCCUGCAGCUCAACUGUAGAAUUGCCUUUGAUACUGGUUAUCUUGAGUCAUUAUGAAGUGGUUAGAAUGUAUAGUGUAGCGGUGAAAUGCAUAGAUAUUACACAGAAUACCGAUUGCGAAGGCAGAUCACUAAUAAUGUACUGACACUGAGGGACGAAAGCGUGGGGAGCGAACAGGAUUAGAUACCCUGGUAGUCC